rnacentral:rRNA from 1 species
GACGAACGCUGGCGGCGUGCUUAACACAUGCAAGUCGAACGGAAAGGCCCUGCUUUUGUGGGGUGCUCGAGUGGCGAACGGGUGAGUAACACGUGAGUAACCUGCCCUUGACUUUGGGAUAACUUCAGGAAACUGGGGCUAAUACCGGAUAGGAGCUCCUGCUGCAUGGUGGGGGUUGGAAAGUUUCGGCGGUUGGGGAUGGACUCGCGGCUUAUCAGCUUGUUGGUGGGGUAGUGGCUUACCAAGGCAUUGACGGGUAGCCGGCCUGAGAGGGUGACCGGCCACAUUGGGACUGAGAUAGGGCCCAGACUCGUACGGGAGGCAGCAGUGGGGAAUAUUGCACAGUGGGCGGAAGCCGGAUGCAGCAACGCCGCGUGCGGGAUGACGGCCUUCGGGUUGUAAAACGCUUUCGCCUGUGACGAAGCGUUAGUGACGGUAAUGGGUAAAGAAGCACCGGCUAACUACGUG